UCAGACAUGGUGUUGUGGUGGCAUGGCCUCUUCAGAUAUAGGUUCAACAUUUGAAUUGGGGGCAGUGCAGGGUUCAAUUCCCUGUGUCUGAA